rnacentral:lncRNA from 10 species
GAAGCCUGUGUGACAGAGCUGGCUGGCACAGAUGCUGACAUUACAUCACAUCACAAGUUUCAGCAUAUCCAGAGCAAAGAUGAGCAGGUGCUUGGAGCAGGGGUAGAACGGGGACAAUCCUGCUCUUGCCGUAGACAGAAAGUGGUGCUUUGACCUCCUCGUCCUGUUGCUGUGAUAACGUCGUGGGUCUCCCAGGACUGCAGGGAUGAACAGGACCCAUUGCUGCAGCCCCUACCCAGGAGCUUUUCAGUGCAAUGCUUGUGUCUAUAACAGGAGAGCACUUAGGGUAGAAGUUACAGGUCCUCAAAACAAAUGGUGACUACAUCCAAAUGCCAUGAAGCUAUAUGGGGUGUCAUCUGCUAAGGUGGGAGAUGGAGGGGAUGGACUCCGCCUCAGAAUACAGGGAGGAUUUCAUCAGCAGAAGUGCUUAGAUGAGGGAAUGGCGGCACAGGGAGACGAUGGCGAAUGCAGAGAUAGCAGCAAAGCUGGCAGUCUGGUGAAAUGGAAGACAAGAGACAAACAUUCUCUGGCAGGACGGAGUGGUUACCAUAUGGAUGCUGCUGCCAAGAGAUGGGGGAAGUGAGAAGAGAAAAAUGGCCACAACAUUUGGUGACACAGAGGCCACUGCUGACCUUGAAAAGAGCAGCAUCAGUGGCAUGGUGGGGAUGGAAAUAGAUCAUAACAGGUGGCAAGAAAGUAAGGAAAACUGUUCCUGGACAAUCCUUUUCAGAAAUUAAAUAGAAUGGCAAGAAGAGAGGCUUAGAGGACCACAGCUGAAAGCUGAUGUAGGAUCAAAGUGAGGCUCUUUGUUCAGAAGAAGCAUAACCUUGGCUGUCAUUUAAAAAUAAAUAAUCAGCAAUUUUACAGUACUGUAGCUGCCCAUUUGCUUGUCCUCUCCCAAGAGGCUGCAGGCCCCAUGGGGUAGGGAGUAUAUCUUGUUCACUGUUUUUUCUGACCUAUCACCUAUCACAGUGACUGGAAUAUAGUAAGCCACUCAAUAGAUAUUUCUUGAAAAAAUAAACUAUUAAUAAAAUAUAUGAUAAAAAUUGGAGGCAGGAGAGGCUUAGUUUUUCUCUGAAAAAUUCCUUGCAAACAGGAACAGGAUUUUCUCUAGGCACAGCAUGGUAGGCCCUGAAGACCUGCUGCUGCUGGAUGGCCAGGCCUGGCAUGUGGGCUGAGCCAUUCCUUCUCCACCUGCAGUAGUCCCUCAGUCACCUGGUCACUGCAGGCUGGUCUUGUUGCUACUUGGUGAAGUCAGGUGAUUAAGAGUUCUGGGAUCUCAUCUGAGCUCUGUUGAGGAAUUGCUGCUACCUAUUCUAUUUUUAAAUUCAAAAAAUAAUAUGAUCCUACAAUCUAAUUCUCUCAUAUAAUUACUGAAACCAAAUCAAAGCUCCAAGGAGAUUAUUUACUGCAAAGCAAUGACGCUCCAGGGUGCCUUCAGGCAAACUUCAACACAGCAAUCUAUUCACCCUACAGUAUUUGGGGAACAGUAGGCUCUCUCCUUCUCCCUUUUAAAAGCAAACAAUUUCACUAUCCAUCAAUCCCAUAACAGAGGCCAGCAAAACAUAAGCAGCUACUUGC